UUAAGCGACUAAGCGUACACGGUGGAUGCCCUGGCAGUCAGAGGCGAUGAAGGACGUGCUAAUCUGCGAUAAGCGUCGGUAAGGUGAUAUGAACCGUUAUAACCGGCGAUUUCCGAAUGGGGAAACCCAGUGUGUUUCGACACACUAUCAUUAACUGAAUCCAUAGGUUAAUGAGGCGAACCGGGGGAACUGAAACAUCUAAGUACCCCGAGGAAAAGAAAUCAACCGAGAUUCCCCCAGUAGCGGCGAGCGAACGGGGAGCAGCCCAGAGCCUGAAUCAGUGUGUGUGUUAGUGGAAGCGUCUGGAAAGGCGCGCGAUACAGGGUGACAGCCCCGUACACAAAAAUGCACAUAUUGUGAGCUCGAUGAGUAGGGCGGGACACGUGGUAUCCUGUCUGAAUAUGGGGGGACCAUCCUCCAAGGCUAAAUACUCCUGACUGACCGAUAGUGAACCAGUACCGUGAGGGAAAGGCGAAAAGAACCCCGGCGAGGGGAGUGAAAAAGAACCUGAAACCGUGUACGUACAAGCAGUGGGAGCACGCUUAGGCGUGUGACUGCGUACCUUUUGUAUAAUGGGUCAGCGACUUAUAUUCUGUAGCAAGGUUAACCGAAUAGGGGAGCCGAAGGGAAACCGAGUCUUAACUGGGCGUUAAGUUGCAGGGUAUAGACCCGAAACCCGGUGAUCUAGCCAUGGGCAGGUUGAAGGUUGGGUAACACUAACUGGAGGACCGAACCGACUAAUGUUGAAAAAUUAGCGGAUGACUUGUGGCUGGGGGUGAAAGGCCAAUCAAACCGGGAGAUAGCUGGUUCUCCCCGAAAGCUAUUUAGGUAGCGCCUCGUGAAUUCAUCUCCGGGGGUAGAGCACUGUUUCGGCAAGGGGGUCAUCCCGACUUACCAACCCGAUGCAAACUGCGAAUACCGGAGAAUGUUAUCACGGGAGACACACGGCGGGUGCUAACGUCCGUCGUGAAGAGGGAAACAACCCAGACCGCCAGCUAAGGUCCCAAAGUCAUGGUUAAGUGGGAAACGAUGUGGGAAGGCCCAGACAGCCAGGAUGUUGGCUUAGAAGCAGCCAUCAUUUAAAGAAAGCGUAAUAGCUCACUGGUCGAGUCGGCCUGCGCGGAAGAUGUAACGGGGCUAAACCAUGCACCGAAGCUGCGGCAGCGACGCUUAUGCGUUGUUGGGUAGGGGAGCGUUCUGUAAGCCUGUGAAGGUGUGCUGUGAGGCAUGCUGGAGGUAUCAGAAGUGCGAAUGCUGACAUAAGUAACGAUAAAGCGGGUGAAAAGCCCGCUCGCCGGAAGACCAAGGGUUCCUGUCCAACGUUAAUCGGGGCAGGGUGAGUCGACCCCUAAGGCGAGGCCGAAAGGCGUAGUCGAUGGGAAACAGGUUAAUAUUCCUGUACUUGGUGUUACUGCGAAGGGGGGACGGAGAAGGCUAUGUUGGCCGGGCGACGGUUGUCCCGGUUUAAGCGUGUAGGCUGGUUUUCCAGGCAAAUCCGGAAAAUCAAGGCUGAGGCGUGAUGACGAGGCACUACGGUGCUGAAGCAACAAAUGCCCUGCUUCCAGGAAAAGCCUCUAAGCAUCAGGUAACAUCAAAUCGUACCCCAAACCGACACAGGUGGUCAGGUAGAGAAUACCAAGGCGCUUGAGAGAACUCGGGUGAAGGAACUAGGCAAAAUGGUGCCGUAACUUCGGGAGAAGGCACGCUGAUAUGUAGGUGAAGUCCCUCGCGGAUGGAGCUGAAAUCAGUCGAAGAUACCAGCUGGCUGCAACUGUUUAUUAAAAACACAGCACUGUGCAAACACGAAAGUGGACGUAUACGGUGUGACGCCUGCCCGGUGCCGGAAGGUUAAUUGAUGGGGUCAGCGCAAGCGAAGCUCUUGAUCGAAGCCCCGGUAAACGGCGGCCGUAACUAUAACGGUCCUAAGGUAGCGAAAUUCCUUGUCGGGUAAGUUCCGACCUGCACGAAUGGCGUAAUGAUGGCCAGGCUGUCUCCACCCGAGACUCAGUGAAAUUGAACUCGCUGUGAAGAUGCAGUGUACCCGCGGCAAGACGGAAAGACCCCGUGAACCUUUACUAUAGCUUGACACUGAACAUUGAGCCUUGAUGUGUAGGAUAGGUGGGAGGCUUUGAAGUGUGGACGCCAGUCUGCAUGGAGCCGACCUUGAAAUACCACCCUUUAAUGUUUGAUGUUCUAACGUUGACCCGUGAUCCGGGUUGCGGACAGUGUCUGGUGGGUAGUUUGACUGGGGCGGUCUCCUCCUAAAGAGUAACGGAGGAGCACGAAGGUUGGCUAAUCCUGGUCGGACAUCAGGAGGUUAGUGCAAUGGCAUAAGCCAGCUUGACUGCGAGCGUGACGGCGCGAGCAGGUGCGAAAGCAGGUCAUAGUGAUCCGGUGGUUCUGAAUGGAAGGGCCAUCGCUCAACGGAUAAAAGGUACUCCGGGGAUAACAGGCUGAUACCGCCCAAGAGUUCAUAUCGACGGCGGUGUUUGGCACCUCGAUGUCGGCUCAUCACAUCCUGGGGCUGAAGUAGGUCCCAAGGGUAUGGCUGUUCGCCAUUUAAAGUGGUACGCGAGCUGGGUUUAGAACGUCGUGAGACAGUUCGGUCCCUAUCUGCCGUGGGCGCUGGAGAACUGAGGGGGGCUGCUCCUAGUACGAGAGGACCGGAGUGGACGCAUCACUGGUGUUCGGGUUGUCAUGCCAAUGGCACUGCCCGGUAGCUAAAUGCGGAAGAGAUAAGUGCUGAAAGCAUCUAAGCACGAAACUUGCCCCGAGAUGAGUUCUCCCUGACUCCUUGAGAGUCCUGAAGGAACGUUGAAGACGACGACGUUGAUAGGCCGGGUGUGUAAGCGCAGCGAUGCGUUGAGCUAACCGGUACUAAUGAACCGUGAGGCUUAACCUU
rnacentral:rRNA from 1 species